rnacentral:misc_RNA from 1 species
AACGCACAUUGCACUCCUCGGUAUUCCGGGGAGUAUGCCUGUUCGAGCGUCAUUUCACCUCUCAAGCUUAGCUUGGAAUUGGAUCUCAUCCGAAAGGGUGUUUCCGAAAGAAAGUGGCAGUCUGGGAACAUUCAAGCGCAGUGAAAAUUAUCGCUAUGAACUACUCUGGCUCGCCAAAACACAUCAAAAUCUUGACCUCGGAUCAGGUAGGGAUACCCGCUGAACUUAA